rnacentral:rRNA from 1 species
CCUACGGGUGGCAGCAGUGGGGAAUAUUGCUCAAUGGGCGAAACCCUGAUGCAGCGACGCCGCGUGAGUGAAGAAGUAUUUCGGUACCUUAAGCUCUAUCAGCAGGGAAGAAAAUGACGGUACCUGACUAAGAAGCCCCGGAUAACUACGUGCCAGCAGCCGCGAGAAUACGUCGGGGGCAAGCGUUAUCCGGAUUUACUGGUGGUAAAGGGAGAGUAGACGGCAGCGCAAGUCUGGAGUGAAAUCCCAUGGGUUAACCAUGGAACUGCUGUGGAAACUGUGCAGCUGGAGUGCAGGAGAGGUAAGCGGAAUUCCUAGUGUAGCGGUGAAAUGCGUAGAUAUUAGGAGGAACACCAGUGGCGAAGGCGGCUUACUGGACUGUAACUGACGUUGAGGCUCGAAAGCGUGGGGAGCAAACAGGAUUAGAUACCCCGGUAGUC